rnacentral:rRNA from 1 species
GGGGAAUAUUGCGCAAUGGGGGAAACCCUGACGCAGCAAUACCGCGUGAGGGAAGAAGGUUUUCGGAUCGUAAAGGUCUGUUACUGGGGAAGAAAGAAAGACGGUACCCAAGAAGAAAGUCCCGGCUAACUACGUGACAGCAGCCGCGGUAAUACGUAGGUGGCGAGCGUUGUCCGGAUUUACUGGGCGUAAAGGGUGCGUAGGCGGAUAUUUAAGUCAGAUGUGAAAACCCCGGGCUUAACUUGGGGACUGCAUUUGAAACUGAAAGACUUGAGUAUUGGAGAGGCAAGUGGAAUUCCUAGUGUAGCGGUGAAAUGCGUAGAUAUUAGGAGGAACACCGGUGGCGAAGGCGGCUUGCUGGACAAAUACUGACGCUGAGGUGCGAAAGCGUGGGGAGCAAACA